AUUGAACGCUGGCGGCAGGCCUAACACAUGCAAGUCGAACGGCAGCACAGGAGAGCUUGCUCUCUGGGUGGCGAGUGGCGGACGGGUGAGGAAUACAUCGGAAUCUACCUUUUCGUGGGGGAUAACGUAGGGAAACUUACGCUAAUACCGCAUACGACCUACGGGUGAAAGUGGGGGACCGCAAGGCCUCACGCGAUUAG
rnacentral:rRNA from 1 species